ACCAUUUUUUUUUUUUAUCGUAGUUACGUAAUUCAACAGAUCGAAGGUUUUUGCCUGAAUUUUCAUCGAUUGAGGCAAAUCGUUGAGAACGUGGAAAAGUUUAAUUUUUUCUUCUUUUUUUUCUUCAAAGCAGACUUGGAAUUAUGGGGAACAAACAGCCAUAAAACCAAACGUACAAUGCAAAUAUCAUAAGAGAAGAGAUUGCUCUUGCAAAUAGAGAUUGAAGAGAAAAGUAAAAAAAAAAAGGAAAGCGGCGUCUAUUCUUGAUGAUUAUGGUUUCCAUUAAAAUCGACGAUGAGGCGGUGAUGAAAGAAUUAAGCAGCAACGACUGCAACAGGUGGAGGUCGAAGCAUCGACCUUGUGGCUGACGAUAAUUUCUCAGAGACUAAAUGGGCGAUGUGCGAUGAUCUCUUCCAGACAAAUUCGCGCGUUCUGUCGUGGUCGUCGGCGCUCUCCACUCGCACCUAAUAAACAAAAUUCAGUGAAUGAAAAUUCUGUGGUGCGACGUAUAUCUGGUGAUCUCGAGGGCCAAUGAAUUACUUCACCUCUACUCAUCAUCGAGGGCAAUGUUCAUUGCAUCAAAUAAAUAUUAAUCUUGAAUUUUAAUUUUAAGUUAUUAAUUAUUAAUUAUUAAAUACUUUGCAUUGAGCAAAUUUAUUCGAUAAGAGCUACGUAAUAAGAUUAUAAUAUUUUGCAAUUGUUCCAUUUUUCCGCAAUUAAUUAAAAGAUUAAAAUUAAAAAUUAAAUUAAUUAAAAGAUUAAAAUUUACAAUAAAGAAUAUUUGAGAGAUUUCACAAUGAUAAUCAAUUUACAAUUGCCAAGAAACAAUAAGAGUCAUCGUGGUAAUAACGUAACCACUGCGUAAUGGUUUAACUAUAAUACCUACGUAAGUAAUUUUUUCAAGCGGCCUUCGUUUGGUAUAUUCGUGUAAAAAAAAUCGUUGUUUGUUCGUCGAAGACUAAACUGCUUUGUAUUGAAAUGACUAUAAAGAAAAAUCGAAUAAUCGAAAACUUAAAUAUUAAUCGUUUGACGUGAACUAAAUAGAACUCGAUCGAAAGUUUAUAUGAAUUCUGAUUCAAUUAUGUAAAUAUCGGUAAAUGAUGAAUGUUUAAUCAUCUGAAUCAAUAUUAUUAAAAGGAAACAAACGUUCCUAAUACUUAUCGAUUUACAUGUACGAUGACGUUAUUAUUUGAGCAAUCGACGAGCAAAGUCACAAAGUCCGAUUAUUAUAAUCUUUUAAUCUUGAUGUUGAUAAUAUACAGUAGGACUUUCAUAAUUCAAGCACAUGUUGUUUGUGCCUACAUACCAAUCAUAUAUCAAGUAUCAAUCGAGUAUUUUAUGAAUUUACAAUUCCUGAGAAAGUUUAUUUAAUCAAGUCGCUAUUCUCUGUUUUAAACUUUAAUGUUGACGACUUAACGUCAAAACAGAAUACAUACAUCAAUUCAUGAUUCAUGCAUAUGAACUUGGAUUAUUCAAACAUUUGCUAUUUGAACAUAAUAUGUGUCUAUUACGUCGACUCAACAGUGUGAAAUUGUCAUCCUAUGUGACAACACCUUAUACGUAUGAUGUUAAUUGUUGAAACGAAAUAAGAGAUACUUUGGAAAUCACAGAAGAUAGGAAAACUUCUUCGCCGCAAAAGUCGCGAAAAUAACGUUGGAGGUAUUAGUCAUUUGAUACAUUUAUGGUGUGAGAUAUAAAGAGCAAUGAGAGCAUACAUAGCUCAAGGCAUAAACAGAAUGCAACAAUCUGAUUCAACGUAACUUAACGUACUAAAAAAUUAAAAAAAAUUGAUGCAACUCGACUUGUGAGAAAAAAUGCAGACUCCACAAUUAAAUAAAAAUAUAUUACACUCA